AACCUCCGCCUCCUGGGUUCAAGCAAUUCUCCUGCCUCAGCCUCCCGAGUAGCUGGGGUUACAAGCAUGUGCCACCACGCCCGGCUAAUUUUUGCAUUUUUAGUAGAGAUGAGGUUUCACCAUGUUGGCUAGGCUGGUCUCAAACUCCUGACUUCAAGUGAUCCACCUGCCUCAGCCUCCCAAAGUGCUGGGAUUAUGGGAGAGAACGCUGCGUCCAGCUUGUCAAGCUUUUCAACAGCAUACUGAAUAUUUCCACCUGCAUGUCUCCUGGAAUGCUGAAUUCUGCAUUUCCAAAAAUGAGUCAUCAUCAUGUUGGGGCUCAGAGAAUGAUACCCCAAAGUAUGCUCCUCUGGCAUUCUGAGCACUUUUGAAUGAAAGGAAAUUGGAAGGACUUACAAGCUGCCUCAGAACCAAGGACUUUUUAAAGUCUUGUUUCACCACCCCACAUGCAUGCAGGGGCUGUCUGAAAGUUCCCUUAGCUGACUGAGAAACCAAAAGAAAUUCAAUUGUGUACUUGCUUUGGCAGCACAUAUACUAAAAUUGGAAUGAUACAGAGAUUAGCAUAGCCCCUGAGCAAGAAGACAUGCAAAUCUGUGAAGGGAUCCAUUAAAAAAGAAAGAAAGAAAAAGAGCAGGUGUGGUGGCUCACGCCUGUGAUCCCAGCACUUUGGGAGGCCAAGGCGGGCGGAUCACCUGAGGUCGGGAGUUCGAGACCAGCCUGACCAACAGGGAAAAGCCCCAUCUCUGCUAAACAUACAAAAUUAGCCGGGCGUGGUGGUGCAUGCCUGUAAUGCCAGCUACUCUGGAGGCUGAGGCAGGAGCAUCACUUGAACCUGGGAGGUGGAGGUUUCGGUGAGCUGAGAUCACGCCAUUGCACUCCAGCCUGGACAACAAGAGUGAAACUACAUCUCAAAAAAAAAAAAAAGAAAAGAAAAGAAAAAAAAUAGAUGCGACUGUCUUAAAAUUUCCUCCCUAGGACUCUCGUCAAAUAACCAGGAAAUAUUAACUACCAGAGAAGAGAAAAGACUAAAAGUUGUCACCACAUCCAAACAGACUUUUCAUCUAUUCUCCUGAGGACAGCUGAGAUUAUUUAGGAGACUUUAUCUGCAUAAUAAGACAACCUUUAUUUACAGUGAAGUCCUGCACCUCACCUUCCUGAAAUUUGUCACAACCUCCAGCUCCCAGAGCUCAGAGGAACUUUGUCCCAGGCAUUGUUUGGGCUCAUUCCUUUUCCCUAAAAAUAGUUGACUACCUUUCAGUAUUGCUGACCUCCGCUCAUCUCCCUCUCCUCUGCAAAGAUGGUGCUCUUUAAGCUUCAGCCACCUGGCUCUUCUCUGAGUCUCAUAUUCUGUAUGGUAACCAUGCACACUGCAUGUCAGUAAAUUUGUAUGUGCUUUCUCCUGUUAAUCUAUUGCCAGUUUAUUUCAGCAGACUCAAACUGUCAGAGUGGAAGGGAAAAAUUCCCUUCACCCUUACAAUCAUCUCCUCACCUGCCCUUCCCUGUUCUCUGUGCCUGCCCCCUCCAGUCAGCUAUGCCUCUUGACUGGCAAAUUUCUGUGUUCUCCCUGUUAUCCAGGCCCACUCAAAACAAAAAACUGCAAUUCUUCCCUCAUGUCUUCCUCUCUGCUUAGCAGCUAAGUCCCUCCCUUCCAUUUCUAUUUUUUUCUGACUGCUAUUUUAGAACAAAGUGGCAUAGUGCGGGAAAAAAAUGAGGAUUUUAGAACAAGACAGGCCUUAGUCCAAAUCUUAGGUCUACUAUAUUUUGGCUUCCUUGGGUAAAUUACUAACCUCUCUAAGGCUUAGUUUCCAAGUCUGUAAAAUGGGGAUAUUACCCACCCUGUGGAGGCGCUAUGACUUAAGUAUGCAUCAAGUGGUAAAUAGAGGGUCCUUUUCUUAUUUUCACCUCAUAUCAGACACCUCCUGCUCAGAAACCUUCAGAGGUUGCCCAUCACUUGACUAUGACACCUAAGCCAUGCAUUUUGCAUUUUGGCCCCUCUCUCUCAUCACUCUUCCCCCCAAUUACUGGGGCUUGGACUAAUCAAAAACAUUGGUUGAUGGCCAGGAGUGUUGGCUCACAUCUGUAAUCCCAGCACUUUGAGAGGCUGAGGCAGGUGGAUCACCUGAGGUCAGGAGUUCGAGACCAGCCUGGCCAACAUGGCGAAACCCUGUCUCUAUUAAAAAUACAAAAAUUAGCUGGGUGUGGUGGCAGGCUGCUGUAAUCUCAGCUACUUGAGAGGCUGAGGUGAGAGAAUGCUUGAACCCAGGAGGCGGAAGUUGCAGUGAGCCAAAAUCAUGCCACUGCACUCCACUCCAGCCUGGGCAACAGUGCAAGUCUCAAAAAAAAAAAAAAAACCAAAAAAACAGGCAUGGUGGCUCACGCCUGUAAUCCCAGCACUUUGGGAGGCCAAGGUGGGCGGAUCACCUGAGGUCAGGAGUUUGAGACCAGCCUGACCAACAUGGAGAAACCCCAUCUCUACUAGAAAUACAAAAUUAGCUGGGUGUGGUGGCACAUGCCUGUAAUCCCAGCUACUCGGGAGGCUGAGGCAGGAGAAUCCCUUGAACCCGGGAGGCGGAGCUUGCGGUGAGCCAAGAUCGCGCACCAUUGCACUCCAGCCUGGGCAACAAGAGCAAAACUCCGUCUCAAAAAAAAAAAAAAAAAAAAAAAACAAAAGGCUGAUUCCAUUACUCUUUCCUCUUUCCUCCCUGCUUUCACUUUGCCGUUCAAACCAAAUCCUUCUUGAUUAGCUCAGCACCAAGUACUGGCUCCCUCCUCAGCCAUCCCUAUGUGUAGUUCAGUGGCACUUGGGGCCAACUGCUUGUCUUACAGAUUAGGCAACUCUAGAUUACAAAGCACUGAAAGCAGGGGCUUCAUCUGGUUGGUCUUUGACCCUGCAGAGCCCCUUGCACACAGGUGAUGCUCAAUAAAUACUUGGUGAAAGCACAAUUCAUUUUCUGUGUUUCAAUGGGCUUCUUUUCUCUAUAGAAUCAGAUGCUUGGUUAUUCUCACCUCAGCGCUAUUUUGUUGGCUUCCAGAAGGCACAGUAACGCUAGGUGUGUUGUGUUCUAUCCUUUAAUUGGAAGAGCUUUGGGAACUGAAAAAUAAGAAUUAUUUCUCCAAGCCUCAUCUUCUGCCACUCCCCCGUACUCACCGGCCUCAUACAGGAAUUGAACUACUUAGCACUGCACAGAACACGACUUUCUCUCUCACGCCUCCGUUCCUCUGUACUUAGCCUCUGUACUUACGUGCCAUUCCCUUUCCCUGAAAUGCCCUUACUCUGGCUUCUCUGCCUGGCAAAUUCCUACUCAUCCUCCAAGACUCAGAUCAGACAUCGCCGCAUCACAUCUGUGAAGGCUCUUCUGCAAUGGGCAGUGUAGCAGUACCCCCUCCAUUUUUUUAGCUUCCUCAGCAAACUCCAAAUAAUUAUAACAGUACUUAUGGCAUUAUUUGUUUAUUUUUCUUCUACUUCCUAGACCGUGAAUUCCUUAAGGGCCAAGAUUUCUGUUCUAUCCCCAGCACAGUGUUCGGCCUAUAUUGGAGAAUCCGGUCCGUACAAACUCUGCAGUGAUUCAAUCAAUGAGCAAACAAACUCACCAAUCAUUCAACACAGCAGAGUUUGUACGGACCGGAUUCUCAAAUAUUUUAAGACCUGGUCCUCUAUUUGGAGUGCUUCAUUCUGGAAGAUCUCUUCCUCCCCCAAG
rnacentral:lncRNA from 1 species